AUUGAACGCUGGCGGCAUGCUUUACACAUGCAAGUCGAACGGUAACAGGGAGCUUGCUCCGCUGACGAGUGGCGAACGGGUGAGUAAUGCGUCGGAACGUGCCGAGUAGUGGGGGAUAACGCAGCGAAAGUUGUGCUAAUACCGCAUACGUACUGAGGUAGAAAGUGGGGGACCUUCGGGCCUCACGCUAUUCGAGCGGCCGACGUCUGAUUAGCUAGUAGGGGAGGUAAAGGCUCACCUAGGCGACGAUCAGUAGCGGGUCUGAGAGGAUGAUCCGCCACACUGGGACUGAGACACGGACCAGACUCCUACGGGAGGCAGCAGUGGGGAAUUUUGGACAAUGGGCGAAAGCCUGAUCCAGCCAUGCCGCGUGUCUGAAGAAGGCCUUCGGGUUGUAAAGGACUUUUGUCGGGGAGGAAAUCCCCAGCGUUAAUACCGCUGGGGGAUGACAGUACCUGAAGAAUAAGCACCGGCUAACUACGUGCCAGCCGCCGCCGUAAAAC
rnacentral:rRNA from 1 species